GAUGAACGCUGGCGGCGUGCCUAAUACAUGCAAGUCGAGCGAAUGGAUUGAGAGCUUGCUCUUAUGAAGUUAGCGGCGGACGGGUGAGUAACACGUGGGUAACCUGCCCAUAAGACUGGGAUAACUCCGGGAAACCGGGGCUAAUACCGGAUAACAUUUUGAACCGCAUGGUUCGAAAUUGAAAGGCGGCUUCGGCUGUCACUUAUGGAUGGACCCGCGUCGCAUUAGCUAGUUGGUGAGGUAACGGCUCACCAAGGCAACGAUGCGUAGCCGACCUGAGAGGGUGAUCGGCCACACUGGGACUGAGACAUGGCCCAGACUCCUACGGGAGGCAGCAGUAGGGAAUCUUCCGCAAUGGACGAAAGUCUGACGGAGCGACGCCGCGUGAGUGAUGAAGGCUUUCGGGUCGUAAAACUCUGUUGUUAGGGAAGAACAAGUGCUAGUUGAAUAAGCUGGCACCUUGACGGUACCUAACCAGAAAGCCACGGCUAACUACGUGCCAGCCGCCGCGGUAA
rnacentral:rRNA from 1 species